rnacentral:rRNA from 1 species
UACGAAGGGGGCUAGCAUUGUUCGGAAUUACUGGGCGUAAAGCGCACGUAGGCGGAUUGUUAAGUUAGGGGUGAAAUCCCAGGGCUCAACCCUGGAACUGCCUUUAAUACUGGCAAUCUCGAGUCCGAGAGAGGUGAGUGGAAUUCCGAGUGUAGAGGUGAAAUUCGUAGAUAUUCGGAGGAACACCAGUGGCGAAGGCGGCUCACUGGCUCGGUACUGACGCUGAGGUGCGAAAGCGUGGGGAGCAAACAGG